GCUGGCCCUCGAAAGGGGACAUGUGCACGCUCUGUCUACACAUCCACUCACACCUGUGCACCCUCUGUAGUUCCAUGGCCUCGGGGACCCCGUCCCCUUGCUGCGGUCCUACGUAUUUACACACACACAGUAACAAAGUCUCAUGGAAUGCAGUCGCGUUUAACGCAAUACAAUACAACUUUCAGCAACGGAUCUCUUGGCUCUCGCAUCGAUGAAGAACGCAGCGAAAUGCGAUAAGUAAUGUGAAUUGCAGAAUUCAGUGAAUCAUCGAAUCUUUGAACGCACCUUGCGCCCUUUGGCUAUUCUGAAGGGCAUGCCUGUUUGAGUAUCAUGAACACCUCAACUCUCGUGGUCUGCCACGAUGAGCUUGGACUUUGGGGGUCUUGCCGGCCUAGCGUCGGCUCCUCUCAAAUGGAUCAGCUUGCCAGUGUUUGGUGGCGUCACGGGUGUGAUAACUAUCUACGCUUGUGGUUUUCUACCAUGUAACCUUCAGUGAUGGAGGUUCGCUGGGGCUCACAGAUGUCUCUCCUUGGAGAGGACAGCUUUUUGAACGUUUGAUCUCAAAUCAGGUAGGACUACCCGCUGAACU
rnacentral:rRNA from 1 species